rnacentral:rRNA from 1 species
UAUGGUAGCCAGCCGCCGCGGUAAUACGUAGGGGGCAAGCGUUAUCCGGAUCUACUGGGUGUAAAGGGAGCGUAGACGGAUGGACAAGUCUGAUGUGAAAGGCUGGGGCUCAACCCCGGGACUGCAUUGGAAACUGCCCGUCUUGAGUGCCGGAGAGGUAAGCGGAAUUCCUAGUGUAGCGGUGAAAUGCGUAGAUAUUAGGAGGAACACCAGUGGCGAAGGCGGCUUACUGGACGGUAACUGACGUUGAGGCUCGAAAGCGUGGGGAGCAAACAGG